rnacentral:sRNA from 2 species
GGACUCUUGAGAUCUUAGGAUUCAGAUGCUUGACGCAUCUAUAUUAGAAUGUGUUGAACAUAAAACAUACUGUUGUAUGUAUAGUUGACCCUCGAGGCGCAGUGCUUGACGCUAUUUACUCAACCAAUCUACUCAAAAAGUUUGGCUGAAUGCUGGUAUCUAUCAAAAUGAAGUAGAUAUUUACCCAGCACAAAUAAACUCCAUGCCUCUCCCGCUGUUGCAGACGGAAAGUUGCAUACAGGGCGGUGCGCCGAUUUGUCUCCCCCUAUUGAUUGG